rnacentral:rRNA from 1 species
CCUACGGGAGGCAGCAGUGAGGAAUAUUGGUCAAUGGGCGCGAGCCUGAACCAGCCAAGUAGCGUGAAGGAUGACUGCCCUACGGGUUGUAAACUUCUUUUAUAAAGGAAUAAAGUGAGGCACGUGUGCCUUUUUGUAUGUACUUUAUGAAUAAGGAUCGGCUAACUCCGUGCCAGCAGCCGCGGUAAUACGGAGGAUCCGAGCGUUAUCCGGAUUUAUUGGGUUUAAAGGGAGCGUAGAUGGGUUUAUAAGUCAGUUGUGAAAGUUUGGGGCUCAACUGUAGAAUUGCAUUUGAUACUGGAAGUCUUGAGUACAGUUGAGGUAGGCGGAAUUUGUGGUGUAGCGGUGAAAUGCUUAGAGAUCACGAAGAACACCGAUUGCGAAGGCAGCUUACUAAACUGCCACUGACAUUGAUGCUCGAAAGUGUGGGUAUCAAACAGGAUUAGAUACCCCGGUAGUC